rnacentral:lncRNA from 1 species
UUAAUGAUGUCUGUAUUUUCAGCACUUAUCAUUGUAGUGAUAUGAAUUAGCCUUUUCAUGCGCAGUAAAAUUUCACUGAGCCCAACGCGUUUUAGCUCUAGUAAUAAGACAGGUGAAGAAUUAUGAGAAAUAAUUUACCAUAUUUCCAGCACAGAUGCAUUUAAUAAGUGAAUUGAGCAAAAUUGGCCAUGAAUCUACUUUGAUUACAGGAUUUUUCUGGGGGUUGCAGAUGGGGCAAUACGCUUUAGAGGUAACGUUUGGAUUUAAAUCAUAUAACUGUUCACACUUCUGCCUUUUAGCUCCUCCCCACCCCUUGCUUAAGCAUCAUAAACAUUGUAUGAAUCCCCUAGACACUGUAAGCUAGACAGUACCUCUCCAACUUGUUCCCAUCAUCCCCAAUUCAAAAUCUAUUUAUUUUUCAUCAAAGGUAAGCAGCAUAAGUCUGAUUAAUGUGUCAUAUGUAUGUAUGCACUUGAAUUUUCGUAGUGUUUUACACAAACAUCUUUUCCUGUUAUUUUUCCAGCCAUUACUAUGGCAAGUUGUGAUGUUCUAUAUAGAUUAUGUCAUUCAUGGCUGAGAAGGACUUGAUGAUAUUGAUUCCUGCAUCAGAUGGAGAGAUUUCUGGGACCACCUCCUAUAGAUGAAACAAUUAUUCUUUCUUUCUUUUUUUUUUUAAAUGUGGUAUUUUGGAUUGGAGACAUGGCUCAAUCAAGGAGCUGACCACCAAACCUGACAUUACAGAUUCAAUCCCUAGGACGUACUUUGUGAAAAGAGAGACCCAAAUCCCUACAGGUUGUCUGCCAACCUCCACAGGGAUGGUUUAGCAAUCACACACGCACAUACAAAGAAUAAGUAAUAGAAUGAAAUAAAAAAAAAUUUUGAGUGGUAUUUCUGAAAUUUUAUAAAGGUUUUUAAAACACUCAUCUUUGUAAGUUUAAGAAAUGUCAUCAUUUUCUCUACCCAGAACUAUAUAAAACAAUUGAAAUAACAUUUAUAGAAAACACAUUCAUUUCUCACUGCAAGAUGUCUUUUAUAUGGCAUAUAAGAAAUAUAUGUGGUACUGUGAAUAUUUUGUGUUUCAUAUACAAGGCAAGUGGAGUUUGCUUGGAAACAAGAAAAAUGAAAGCUCAGAAAAUGUUAAAAAUGAUUGAGACUUGUCAUUUGACUUGAUCUCUAAACAUGGCAUAGAGCAUUGGU